rnacentral:rRNA from 1 species
GACGAACGCUGGCGGCGUGCUUAACACAUGCAAGUCGAACGGAAAGGCCCUGCUUUUGUGGGGUGCUCGAGUGGCGAACGGGUGAGUAACACGUGAGUAACCUGCCCUUGACUUUGGGAUAACUUCAGGAAACUGGGGCUAAUACCGGAUAGGAGCUCCUGCUGCAUGGUGGGGGUUGGAAAGUUUCGGCGGUUGGGGAUGGACUCGCGGCUUAUCAGCUUGUUGGUGGGGUAGUGGCUUACCCAGGCUUUGACGGGUAGCCGGACUGAGAGGGUGACCGGCAACACUGGGACUGAGACACGGGCCAGACGACGAAGGGAGGCAGCAGUAGGGAAUCGUCGGCAAGGGACGGAAGUCUGACAGAGAAACGCGGGGUGAGGGAGGAAGGGUGUCGGAUCGUAAAGCUCUGUUGUAAGAGAAGAAGGAGUGUGAGAGUGGAAAGGUCAAACUGGGACGGUAGAUUACAAGAAAGGGAAGGCUAACUACGGG